AGCUUAAUGAUGAUUGUCUCUUUUGAUGCUUUAAAGCAACGUGAAAAAAAUAUUUCACCGGCUCUGAAAGCU
ensembl:snoRNA SNORD102 small nucleolar RNA, C/D box 102